AUGGUGAGUUUUGACCCCAAAACAGCUCAGGGCGGCCCCCCCAGAGUGUUCCCGCUGUCCCCCUGCGGCCCCCAGCCCCUUUUCUCGGUGGGCUGCCUGGCGGUGGGGGGGACCCCGCCCGCCCCGCUGCGCUGGCGCUGGAGCGACGGGCAGAACCGCACGCUGGGCGGGGCUAACUCCGGAGUGGGCGUGGCCACCGGGGUGGGCGUGGCCUCCAGAGACUCCGCCCUGCUGUUCCUGGCCGCUUCCCGCCUGGAGGCGCCGCUGGAGGAGGGGAAAUCCAGGAUGCCCUUCUGGUGCCGGGCGGAGAAUCCCAAGGGCGGAGCCGCCGCUCAAGUGACCAAUCCCGGUGAGUCCGGAAUCUGGUUCCGCAACGGCGACCCCCUGGGGGCCGGCGCCGCCUCCGAGGCCGCCGGGGCCGAGGGCUCGGGCGUGGUGGUCACCAGCAGCCGCCUGGGCGUCACCGAGGCCGAGUGGGAGCGCGGCGACACCUUCACCUGCCUGGCGGGCGGCGAGAGCCGCAACACCAGCAAGGGCAUGGAGUGUCAAUACGACCAGGCGGGCGGGGCGGGCGGCACCGAGGUGCAGGUGGAGACGGCGCCGCCGCUCUUCGCCGACGUCUUCGAGGACAAGGCGGCCAAGCUGACGUGCCGGGUGGCCAACCUGGCGGGCCCCGAGGGGCUGGAGGUGACGUGGCUGCGGGAGGACGGCGAGGCCCUGCCCACCAAGGUGGGGCCGCCGGCCCUGCAGCCCAACGGGCUCUUCGGCGCCGCCGCCGUGGCCUCGGUGAGCGCCGAGGACUGGGAGUCGGGCCGGCCCUUCACCUGCCGGGUGGUGCACCCCGACCUGCUCUUCCCCAGGGAGGUGGCCCUGAAGAAGGAGGCUGUUCCCGACGCCAGCCCCCCGACCCUGUACCUUCUUCCUCCGCCCCCCGACCAGCUGAGGCUGCAGCGCUCGGCCACCCUCACCUGCCUCGCCCUCUCCUUCAACCCCCCCGACCUGCUGCUGCGCUGGCUCCGCGACGGCGAGCCCCUCCCCCCGGGCGCCGCCCUCACCUUCCCGCCCCGCCCCGAGCCCCGCCCGGGCCGCGCCGCCUUCAGCCUCCUCAGCGCCCUCACCGUGCCCGCCCACGACUGGCACCGCGGCGUCGCCUUCACCUGCCUGGUGGGCCACGAGCGCCUCCCGCUGCGCCUGGCCCAGCGCACCCUGGACCGCAGCUCCGGUAACGCCGCCGCCCCCCUCAACGUCUCCAUCGUGCUCGCCGACGCCGCCGGCGCCUGCUAUUAA